GUUCCUCUUUUGACUUCGUAACUCAUUUGGAAUUUUCCUCGUUAGCUUUGCAAAUUUGAAAAACUCUUUGCAAAUCCCUUGAGGGAAUUUGCAAUGUUCCUAUCGGUUGUUGCAAUAUUCCAAACUUCAUUUUAAAUUUUCCUAACUUCCUGUUUUAAUUUCCUAACUUCCUGUUCUGUUCUGAGCGUUGUUAUUGGUCGAUUAUUUUUGUUAGCCAAUUACAACGCCCAGAACAGAACAGGAAGUUAGGAACUUGUAACAGGAAGUUAAGAACUUCUAACAGGAACUGAGGAAAAUUUUUUUUGCUUUUAGCAACAUUGCAAAUUCCCUCAAGGGAUUUGCAAGGGAGUUUUUUAAAUUGCAAAAGUAAUGAGGAAAAUUGCAAUCAAUUUAGAAACUCAAAAGAGGAACGCUUCACGUAGUUUACCUGUAA